CCGUUCUCAACCAUUUCUUUCUCUGCUUCUUUCUUCUUAAUCAUCCAUUGAUGUUCUAGCUCCCUGCUUAUUCUUUUAUGUAUUUAUUUUUUACAGUUUUGUGGCUAAGCCUGUAGCUUGAGACCGGUCCAGAGAUGGGUUCGUGAAUAUGAUGGUCUGGCAGUGCAUCUUCCUUGGCAAGGCUGGGUGUUUGAAGACAAUGACAACAACUGUAAUUUUGCCCUACCUUGCCUGUUUUCCUACUGAUUGGGAGGGUGGCUAUUUUCCACAUACAAUUCUCUUCAG